UGGUAAAAUCAUGACGGCAAGGUGGUGAUAUUGCUGCACGCCUGUGUCCACAGAUUUGAACAGUUGGUGGGUCAAAAACAACUGCAAAGAAACUGGCAGAAGAAGCUGGGAACAUAGCCAGAUAUUAGAUUUAUCUUUGCAUGUUAGACAGCGCUGGAGUUUCAUUACAACUUUUCACCUACUCGUCCCCCUCCCAUGCACCCGUCUCAUGUUAUAGAUGUGCAAAGUAUUUUUUACUGCCAAAACUAUUAAAAAGACAGCACUAAAAAA